rnacentral:rRNA from 1 species
UACGUAGGGGGCAAGCGUUGUCCGGAUUUACUGGGCGUAAAGCGCGCGUAGGCGGCUUUGUAAGUUAGAGGUGAAAGCCCGGGGCUCAACCCCGGAAUUGCCUUUAAGACUGCAUCGCUUGAAUCCGGGAGAGGUGAGUGGAAUUCCGAGUGUAGAGGUGAAAUUCGUAGAUAUUCGGAAGAACACCAGUGGCGAAGGCGGCUCACUGGACCGGCAUUGACGCUGAGGUGCGAAAGCGUGGGGAGCAAACAGG